CUCGCGAGAGCGGGGCCGUGUGCGGGGGCCGGCGGUGCCGCUGGGCUCCGGGCUGCUCCAGGGUGGGCUUGUGACGCUGCAGCUAAAGGCAGUCUGAGGGGGAUGCUUACUUCACCUGAAACCCCAGAAGCUGUAUCUCGCUCGUGCAAUCCUGUUUGUAGUCCGACUGGAAUGUGUGCCUCUGCUUUCUCCCAGUGCCUGCUGUAGAGUCCCUCUCCUCACUGCAGGCUGCUCCAGAUUCAUCUCUGAGGCAGAAUGGUUCCUGCUCCCAAGCUGCCUUCGUCCCUUUUUACAUUGAACCCAUCUGAAAUGCAAUUUAGCAGUGCAUGCAGCUGCUUGAAUAAUGUACAUCAGCCUGAAAUCUGCUAAAAGGAAAGUCUGGAACAGCAUAUGUAUUUGGUGUCCUAAAGAUAUAUGCGGAUGAUUUUGGUUUUUAUUUUUUAAGGUUUUUAAAAUUUUUUUAAAUAAAACUAUUUCUUCUUCUUUAUGCAACAUA